AGGGGCAAUUGGGCGUUGACAAAUUUACCAAAAACUGUGAGUGGUUGACCUAUAUUUGCCGGUGAUAGGGGCGAAGGAGGAGAGUGCAUGGCCAAACCCUAAGCCAAGUCAAGAACACAAGCAAUGCUAAUAUACUAUAUCAAUCCACCACAUGCAAAGGACAACAUCUCAAUCUAUAAUCUUGUUUGUUGAAAGGGAUCAGCCAUGUGCACAAACAGAAAAUGCAAACUCAUACGUGAAGUUUUUGACUUCAAAUUCCCCACUGCUUUGUGAAAAUGGCUGUCUCUAUCAUUCUUAGCAUUUUUAGGAAUACCCAUUAGAUUAUGCUGCGAAGUAGUGGAACCAUAAGUGGUGGAAAAGAAGAGAACUUUCACUUUCCUUGAAGUAUUAUAUUGUGGUGGACCAAAUGGAAUCAAGUUUCCUGUGUAGUGAUAAUGAUUAAG
rnacentral:misc_RNA from 1 species